UACGUAGGGGGCAAGCGUUGUCCGGAAUCAUUGGGCGUAAAGCGCGCGUAGGCGGCCCGGUAAGUCCGCUGUGAAAGCCCAGGGCUCAACCCUGGAAAGCCGGUGGAUACUGUCGGGCUAGAGUCCGGAAGAGGCGAGUGGAAUUCCUGGUGUAGCGGUGGAAUGCGCAGAUAUCAGGAGGAACACCGAUGGCGAAGGCAGCUCGCUGGGACGGUACUGACGCUGAGGUGCGAAAGCGUGGGGAGCAAACAGG
rnacentral:rRNA from 1 species